rnacentral:rRNA from 1 species
UGAGACACUGCCCAGACUCCUACGGGAGGCUGCAGUCGAGAAUCUUCCGCAAUGCACGAAAGUGUGACGGAGCGACGCCGCGUGAUGGAUGAAGUAUUUCGGUAUGUAAACAUCUUUUAUAAGUGAAGAAGUAUAUUGACAUUAACUUAUGAAUAAGGGGUUCCUAAACUCGUGCCAGCAGGAGCGGUAAUACGAGUACCCCGAGCGUUAUCCGGAAUUAUUGGGCGUAAAGGGUCCGUAGGUGGCUAUAUUAGUCGAUUGUUAAAAAUCCAAGCUCAACUUGGGGAGGGCAAUCGAAACGGUAUGGCUUGAGUGUGCGAGGGGUCUGUAGAACUCAUGGUGUAGGGGUGAAAUCCGUUGAUAUCAUGGGGAAUACCAAAAGCGAAGGCAGCAGACUGGCGCAUUACUGACACUAAGGGACGAAACCCUGGGUAGCGAAUGGGAUUAGAUACCCCAGUAGUCCAGGGCCUAAACGAUCUUGAUUAGUUUUCGGGAGUAUCGACCCUCUCGGAGACGUAGCUAACGUGUUAAAUAAAGCGCCUGGGAAGUACGAGCGCAAGCUUAAAACUCAAAGGAAUAGACGGGGACUUGCACAAGCGGUGGAUCAUGUGGUUUAAUUCGAUGAUAAACGAAGAACCUCACCAAGGCUAGACACUUUAGUCACGCCACAUACUGGAAACAGCUAGUGGAUAUUGUGCUAAAGCAGGUGUUGCAUGGCCGUCGUCAGUUCGUGGUUUGAAUUGUUCCCUUAAGUGGGGUAACGAACGAAACCCUCGUCGUGUGUUUUAUAUGUCACGCGAGACUGCCCCCUUUCUGAGUAUUAACUAUUAAUAUUUAGUAACCAGAAAGGGGGGAGGAAGGAGAGGAUGACGCCAGGUCAGCAUGACCCUUGAUGCCUUGGGCUACACACGUGAUACAAUGGAUGGGACAACGGGUCGCGACGGAGUAAUCC